UGCUCGUGUUUCGUUGAGCGGUGAUCGGAACCAAGAAAACCCUCUAGAACCCUGAACUGCUAAACAGAUGAGAUGGCGAGACUGGGAACUGGGAAGUCAAUCGACGGUGGCUUGAUGUUUUCGUCCUCGAUUGUUGCUUCAUCUUUCUCCUCUUCUCCGUCGUCUUAGUAGAAAGAGUUUUCCGAAGGCAAAAGCAUAUCCAGAGCUCUGGUUCAGGCACUCUACUGCUGCCGAUUCUGUGUUCUCCUUUCCAAUGUCAACUUCUGGAGCUGCAAGUAAGAGGAGAAAAAAUGCUUCGGGGAAUAGGAGUGAUAUAGGAUGGGAAUAUGCUAUUGAAGUUGGUAAUGAUUCGAAAAAAGUACAAUGUAAAUAUUGUUCUAAAAUUUGCAGUGGAGGUAUAUAUCGUUUGAAGCAUCACCUUGCUUGUACAAACAAAAAUGUUGGGCCUUGUCGAAAUGUACCUGAUGAUGCAAGGAAGAGAAUGUUGGGGAUUUUAUCCCAAGGUGUUGAAGCAAAGGAGAUAAGGAAACAACAACUGUCGCAUCAACAUGACACCGGGAGCUCAGUUAAUGAAACACAACAUGAAUCUCAAUAUGGAACGUCAUCUAUGUCUAAGGGGAAGAGAAGUUCAAAUCAAGUAACCACGAAUGAGUUAUUUAAGAAAGAUUUGAGGAGAAGUGUAUGUAGAAGAAUUGGGAAAUGGUUUUACACAAGUGGUAUUCCUUUCAACACAGUAAGGAAUCCUUACUUUACAAAAAUGUGUGAGGAGAUAGCUAGACAUGGAGUUGGUUUUAAGGCUCCCUCUUACCAUGAGAUUAAGGAGACUUUUCUGAGUGAGGAGGUCGAGGAGAUGAAGGAGUACCUUGAGCUUCAUAAAGUUGGAUGGAGAAGAGUAGGAUGUAGCAUAAUGUCUGAUACUUGGACAAACAAAAAGGGAAGAUCAAUAUGCAAUUUCUUGGUGAACAGUUGGAAAGGUACUAUCUUUUUGGAGUCAAUAGACACAUCUAAUUUUUCCAAAACAGCAAAAAAAGUUUUUGAGAUGUUGGAAAAUGUUGUUGAGAAGGUUGGGGAAGAAAACGUUGUGCAAGUGAUUACUGAUAAUGAUGCAGCUUAUAAGGCAGCAGGUUCAAUGUUGAUGGAUAAGAGGAAACAUUUAUUUUGGACACCAUGUGCCACACAUUGCAUUGAUUUGAUAUUGGAGGAUUUUGAAAAGAAACUGAAGGUACAUCGUGUGACAAUCCAAAAAGGUAGAAAGAUCACAACUUACAUAUAUUCUAGAACUUUACUCAUGUCUAUGUUGAAACACUUUACUCAGGGGAGGGAUUUGAUUAGACCUGAUGUCACUAGGUUUGCUACGACUUUAAGAUGCCUUAGUGAACAUAAGGCUUCAUUAAUGACCAUGUUUUCUUCUUCAAAGUGGAAGGGAAGCGAGUUUGUACGCACCGAAGAAGGGAAAAGGGUUGAAAACAUUGUUCUGGAUGGUAGGUUUUGGAAAAAUGUUAUUCUAUGUCUUAAGGCUGCAUUACCUAUGAUUAAAGUGCUUCACUUGGUGCAUUUGAAUGAGCAGCCAGCUAUGCCAUUCUUAUAUGAGGAGAUGGACUGUGCGAAAGAGAAAAUCCAAGCUAAUUUCAAUAAUGUGGCAAGAAGUUAUGAGCCUUUAUGGAGUAUUAUUGAUGAAAGAUGGAAUAACCAACUUCAUAGGCCAUUACAUGCUGCGGCCCACUAUCUGAACCCCCGAAUUCAUUAUCGUCCAAGCUUCAAUCCUAAUGAUAAGGAGGUUAAAAGUGGGCUAUUUGAUUGCUUGGAUAAAUUGGUGAAGGAACGGGAUGAAAGAAAUACAAUAAUUUCACAGCUAGAUACAUUCCAUCAUGCUAGAGGUAUGUUUUCUAGGGAUUGUGCUAAGGCAUUAUUGGAGAAGAAACAUCCUGCUGAUUGGUGGAACACUUAUGGAGAUGAAGUUCCUGAACUUCAAAGAUUUGCUAUACGAGUGCUGUGCUUGACGUGUAGUUCUUUUGGGUGCGAGCGUAAUUGGAGUGCAUUUGAGAUGGUUCCGGCAGCUUUCUUUCCUUCCUGGUACAUAGUUCUCAGCGUGAAGAAUGUACAAAAACAAAAGAAAGUGUAUUUUAGGGCUCCUCGAAGUUAAAUCACAUCAAAGUAUUACUUAUUUUAGAUUUGCGGUUUCAUUUACUUAUCCUGAUUUACUUCUGUUGCAGGAAAUCCAUAAUGAUAGAAAAGUAAAUCUCAGGCACAUGAUCAUGACAUUUUGUGUUGAGAAAUUCUAGAUUUCUGGUAGCAGCAUCUAAGAAGCACUUGUCGAAGUGUUUUUAUUCAUUUUUAGUGUGAUACCAUAGUGGAUUGUUAAAAUGGGGCACUGCACUUGUCUUUAAUGUGAGAAUGGUACUUGCUUUAUUGUUUUCAUUGUCAGGCCUAGCUUAGGCCCUUGCAACAUUUCAUCCUAUUUGUUUUCUAGUCUAAUAUCAGGAGCAAUGAUCUUGAAAGAAAUUGAUGCACUUUCAAAGAAAAUGAGGAAUGCAGGAAGAAAAUCGUCUGCAAGAGAAGGAAUUUGAUCGGGCAUUCUUUAGGGAGUUCUGGCCGGACAAUGCUUGAAGGUUGUAAUUGCCUUAAUACAGAGGAUAUAUUUUGUACAGGAAUCUUUAUAGAACUUUUGCAGCCCCAGUUGAAGGCAUGCGCUACUUUUUUUUUUUUUUUUACUUCUGCAGUCCAUUAGUGGAUACAUUUGGCAAACAUACUCCAGAAGAAACUUUUGUCCUAGCAUUUCAGUGCAACCAUGGCUCCUGGUUUUAGAAGCUUUUGCAAGAUCUCCUAGCACUUCAUGGUCCGGGGGGGCUGGGCUUGCAUCUUACCUUCAUUUAUUUGAAGAUUGCGGAAGUGAUCUAAUGGCAGGAGCUUGCAGCAUUGCUGUUAGGAGAUGCAUGUGAUGCGGUCCAUGCAGAUCCAUGUUUCCAGGUAAGUUUCCUCGAAACAGUCUACAUUUGAUCAUUGAGCUGCAAGAGGAGCCAAAAUUUCUCUGUUUAUUUGAUAUACAUAGGUGAAGAGGUGGCUGUUGCAAUGAGUGGAAGACUUAAUCACUGCAAACCAAAGUCUUGGGGUCCAUAAACAUGAGGAAAACAAAAAGAAACUUAUGAGGAAAAGUGGAAAACUCAAGGUUGUAGGUGGCUUUAGGUUGAUGUAAACAUCGGAGCCAGACAAAAAAGAAGAAGUAACAUAGACGGAGCAAAAGUGGUUAUAUUCCCACCUCCUGGAAGGCAGUUGAGGCGGGGGAUGGAUGAAAACUGUGAGAUCUAGCAUAGGUAUAAUUGUUCUGAUGCAUCCAAAAUUGAAACUUAAACAACCCUCUUUCUCAUGGUCUCUGGAGUACUGUAUAUAGAGAAGCUUUCCAACGUUCGGGGCAGGAUCUCAAUCAAAAGGUUUCUCAAUUGCGGAAAACUGGUUGGAAAUAGCACGAGCUCUAAGGAGUUAUAGGAGACAGAAAGUGGAGGUCACCCCCAAAAUUCAUAAUGAAGGACCUUACCCCACACUCUGAAAGUCUAGACAGAGUAGACUUGUGUAGGUUAGAAUAUAAGACUCUGCAGGGAAUGAACAUGCUAAUCUAACUUGAAGAAUCUUUUGGAGACAAAAAAAAAGUUUCUAGUUCAAGGAGGAAGACAGAAACACCAAGUCACCAAUGGAAUAUUGUUUUAUGUCGGAAACAAGACCAUGAAAGAAAAUAGUGUCAGUUGCUGACUGAUAUAAAUCCUCAUUUAAAGAAGCAGUAUGUUUACUGGCAGAAUAUUGUUUACGUGAACAACACUAUGAAAGAAAAAGACUGGUGAUUGUUGACUAUUAUAAAUCCUCAUUUAGAGGAGCAGUAUGAUUUUGGGUGACAAGUUGACGAUUUGCAUUUUGAAACUAUUGGAGUAGAGAAGAUGUCAUGGCUUGCAAGAUUUUUAAUGAUGAGAACAUUUAUAUUACUUUCUUUGGUUGUGAAGGGAACAGAGCCUCAAUUUUGGAUAGAUUUGCAAUGGUAUUCUACCCACAGUUUUUGGUGAUCAAUAUUGAAGGGAAGAUUCAACAUUCUUAAGGUCUUAGUGAAAAUUCCAAAUGAAUACCAGCUUUAUUGAUUAUUUGAACCGUACUUUUAUUCUCUCAUCCUCUAAACACCCGAAGUUAUCAAGAUAUACCAUGACAAGAAAUCAAAUCUUGCUACAGGCUCAUUUAUCUCUUCUAAGCAACCAAAAUUGAAAAUAAAAUAUGUAAUGGAGGAUAUAUCAUGUACUUAGCUUUUCAGAAACCAAUACUUACAAGAAGUAAAUACCGCCUCUCUAGGCUCAUGUAAGGAAAUUUGAUGUUUUGAUAUUUUUGAGUUCGAUACUGACAACUGGCAAGUAGAAUUAAGCAAAGAAAUACCUCUGCAUUCCAUAAAUUAUGAUCGCAUGCAAUAACUAUGUUCAUUGUUGCUAGGUGGUUGGUGUUAUCUUUCUUUAGAAAAGUCAAAAUUGUUCCUGGCAUUUCUUACAUUGAAGUUACUCUAUAAAUUGCUUGCUUUAUCUUUUUUGCUAAUAAGUCUUUAUUGCUCUUGGUACUUGAUAUGAUUGUUAGAUCCAAAAUUGGAUAAAGGGAAUCCAUUAUUGAAAUGCUCAGAUCUAAAUUUUAGUGAUGUGUAGGACUAUGGCUUUCUAUUGGGAUUUUGCCUUUGCCAGAUUAUUUUAUCACAAUCAUUGACAGAAUUUAUGAUAGAUUAAAUCACUUUAUUGAUAAACUUGAUCAUCAAAGGACAAUCUUAUUUCAAGGGAAAUUUAAUUGAUAUUGAAUCACACACUUCCGUUUUGUUGCUUGCGGGCUAUCUCUUGGGUGACCUUUUCCUUAAGGGCCUCCAGUUUCCCUUUCAGCACUAGAAGCUCGUCAAUGCUUAGCUUAUCAAGGGGCUUGCCAAACAGCUCCAUUAUUGUGUCAUCAAACUUUUUCUUCAGCUCUACUUCACGUUGCUUCUCAAUCUUCAUUCGCCUAAUCACUUGACGGUACUUCAUAAGAAGUUUCUGCAGCUUAGCCAAAUAUUUGACAUCAUAUGCACCUCGAAUUCCUCCGUUCAUGAUGCCUUCAAUAGAAUGCAAAGUGAAUUUGUUGAUAUGAGUGAAUAAUUUCAGAAGAACACAUCAUAAUUUAUAGGACUCAGAUGUAGUCAACAGUCAAUUAUAUCUGGCCUUUUUUAUUGGCUCUCAAUAUCCUUCCAUAUAAUUCCUUUAGGUAUAAAAGGCAAAAAAUGAAAUAUAUAUCUAUAAAUAGAUUAUGUAUCCAAUAUUAAUUAUCAGCUUGGUUGUCAUAAUUUAUUUUGUGUAACGUCUUAGAAGUCUUUAAAUAUGAAAAAAUCUUACUAAUUUUAUAUAUAUUAGUCGUUAUCCUAUGCGUCGCGUAGGAUGAUACUUGUUGGAUAUAUAUGAAUGCUGUGAAAUGCCCUAACCCAACAAGUUAACUUACGGGGUUGAAUGACAAAGUAACUAAUCUUAACAUGGUAUUAGAGCGAAAGGUAUUGGGUUCAAACCUUAGCUUUCGCAAUUUAAACUCCCAUUUGUUGUUACCCCAAGUGUGGGGCUUUGUGCGUGUUUGUUGUUGUCCUAGCGUACUUGUUGGGCCGUCAGAUUGUCUAACCCACACGUGAGGAGGAGUAUUGAAAUGUAUAUAUGCUGUGAAAAUGCACCAACCCAAUAAGUUAACUUAUUGGGUUGAAUUACAAAGUAACUAAUCUUAACAAUACUCGUACUAAAAAGUAGAACACAUAGCUUAUAGAUGAAGCAAUAUCCAUUGGUACUUGUUUCUUGUUUGCUUGCAUAGUUGCAUCUGAGUGUUAUAAAUACGAGAAAAUCUUACCGAGUAGAAUUCGAGGCUAUAUCCUAGAGAUUCAGCAUUUGAAGGAGAGGAUUUCUCUGCUGCAUAACUCUUAUGAUUUCUAGGAUUAUUUAUUUUGAGAAUAAAUUUGAUAUUUGAUUUCCAAACUUAUAAGCACCAUUUAAAUGCAAACUUAGAUGUGGUGUCCAUCUUAGUCUUCAUUUGUUGGUUUUCUUUUUGAGUGUCGAAGUUUUAUUACGAAUUUUAGGAGACAAUCUUGUCAAAAUGUUCUCCACCUUAGAGUUUUGUUUGCCUAGCAUUUACUGCUGUCAUGAGAGUUUUUGGAUCUCUGCUAAUAGCAUCUUGAAAGUUCUUGUCAAUGUUUUCUUUAUUCAAGUUUUUAUGAUGGCUGUUGGUCUAAGUUGCUUUUUCAAAAUACCUGUCUGAAAGGGCAUGGGUUCGAAUCCCAUUUUUGACAAACAACUUUGUUCACUUUUAGUAUGAUAACUUGUUGGAUUGUUAGAACUAAGCACCGCACUUGUCUUUAGUCUGAGCAUCAUACUUGCCUUUUGUUUUCCAUUCAUCAAACCAAGGUUAGCCCCUUGCUGCAUUUUCAUCCAAUUUUUAUUUGUACUUUAAUAUCAGGAUCAACUAUAUUCAAAGGAAUCAAUUGUACUUUUUAAGAAAAAGAGGAAGAUGCAGGUAAUAGAAAUAGUCUGCAAGAGAAGGAAUUUGAGUGAGCAUUUUUAGGGAAUUCUAGCUGGAUAAUGUUUGAGGUUUUUUAGGCUUCAUAGAGAGAAUAUACUUUGUACAUGUAUCUUUAUAAAUUUCUUGUAAACUUAGUUGAGGGCAAUAUUCUACAAGAGAAGGAAUUCGAGUGAGCCUUUUUUAGGGAGUUCUAGCCAGAUAAUGUUUGAGGUUUUAGGCUUCACUACAGGCAUCUUUAUAAAUUUCUUAUAACCUAAGUUGUGGGCUUGACAUUGGUUUUAUGCUCCUGUCGUCCAUUACAGAACCAUAAAUGACAAACAUAAUUCUGAGGAAUGUGGUAUUACUGUAUUAAUGUUUCAGUGCAACUAUGGCAACAAUUUUUAGAGGCCUUUCAAGUUUUAGGUUAUGUUAUCUAUACGUCGAAAGAUAUAGCUUGUCAAAGUAUGUUUUGGCUAUUUUUGCUUUUGCUUGUUACUCUCAGUACCUGUCUUCUGGCAAGUUAUGACCAAAACUUUUUGUUAUGUUACACCUUAUUGUGCCUGAUAUCCUACCACUUUGUCCAGGUGGGCGGUGCCUUUGCCUUCCCUCCUUUUAUUUAGAUGUGCUGGAAAUGAUCUAAUGGUGGGAGCUUGUAACAUUGUUGUCAGGCAUAUUUAGUCUUGAGAGAUCUAGCAUGGUGUGAAUUAGGUGAUUACAUGCUUCCUGCCCAGUUUCCUUGAACCAAUCACUACAGUAAUGCUUGUACUUUACCCUGUUGUAGGAGAUGCAUAUUUCCGGUUGAGUUUUCUACUUCUGCUCUUGAGACUACUAGAGGAAGCAGAAUUUGUGUGUUUCUUGAUAUAGGUCGAAGAGGAGGUGGCUCUUAUCACGGGUGGAGAAUUUUUUGAACGCAAACCAAAUUUUCCGUAGUCUGAAAAUGAGGCAUUACUGUUCCAGCUAAUGAGAAAAACAAGCUUAUAUACAGAUUUUUAAACAGAAGUGGAGCAAACAUGGUUAUAUUCCCAGAAAGCAAUAUAGAGGCUUCUCCUUCAAGCUGUUAUCCUGCUUGACUUCAGGUAGCUUUUUAUGGGUUCUAUGAGGCACACAGAACCAGAGUGGAGGUCGAGACCAUGAAUAUCCCGUAUUGUGAUUCUUUUGAUUGCUUCAGUAGUUGUGGUCAAGAGUGAGUGAGAUUUUCUAUUGUUGAAUGGCACAUCCGAGGUCGGAUUGGAGACUAGAAGAAGUAUAGCAGUUGGCAACACACAUGCUACAUGACCAGAGUUCAUAAACAUUGAUACAUGCUCAUGUAUCUGGUCUGAGCAACAACUGAAACAGAAACAUUUAAUGGGAAUAUACCAGAUUGGUUUGAUUUGAUGUUUACAUAUAACUAGUCGUUAUCCUGCAUUUGAUUGUUAUAUGAAA